AUUCUGUUUGUUUACUUUGUUAGUCUUGUCAAGUAUCAGCUGUCAAAUUCGACACACAGGAUAGAUUUUCAGUUGUUGUCUGUGGUCCUUUGAGAAACUCGUGCUAGAUCGUCAUCGGACAGUGGUCAGUGGCGACAUGACGCUCAGAACAAUGAUCGUGCUGACUGGCCACAGAGUAGUUUUGUGACGAUGAGCUGACAUCCCCGGUGACGGCUUUUUUUUCGGAACUGGCAAGGAGGCAAACCAUUCUCUGUCAGAACGUCUCGACUCUCGAGUAAAUGUGUGGUUAGAUUUUUCUUCCCGCCCGCGUGGCGCAGGCCGUAUUGGUACCAAGUUCCUUGCUUCAUAUUUCCUGUUACCAGAUACGUGCCACAGACACCCACGCAGCAUCACACCAUGUGUACCUAACCUGAAUUGCCGAGUGAGUAAACUAGCAUUUCGUUGUUAUUCGAUUUCCGAUGACUUUGGAUUUCGAAAGCCAUCUGCCUUGUCUUUAUUUCUACACGUAGCAACGUCUAACCCCGCGUAUUUCUUUUACAGCAAUUUCAAUCCUGCCCGGUGGAGCGUGCGAUUGCCAGACGCGUGUCACCUGACCCAACCCCAAGGUAAGCGCCAUGACCUUCCACGUGUCGAUUAGGUUAUUUUGCAAGUGUCACGUUUAAACAGCAAAGCUACCGCCUUUGAGACGAGAUCUAACCUUCCCAUAAUCGUUUGAUUAGUGAUUGACCGUAGGUUUUAGGUUAGAAAUACCCAGGGGCCAUUCAAGACACGUCACUUGAGACAUGUUAGCUAGGCCUUCGCUGUCCUUACCGACCCAUCCUUGACCCAAGGCUGUUUCUCGCGAUUCCAGAAGGUGUCGUUGGUGACCAGAGCCGUCAGCGAGCCACGAGCCGUCCGGAGCUCCUGUCCUGGCCCCGUCCGACAGUCCAGGUUGGCCGUUGUAUGUUCGUUGAGCGGAUACUGAGGAAUUUCCUUAGGAUUUCUAUUAAUCUUCAGCGGCAUCAGCCUUCUAACGCCGCUGCUGAAUGUAGGAUUGCAAAGGCAGAACCCGGGUGGACUCUAGCGGGUUAAAACCUUUAUUUUAUUUUUUUUACUUCGUAGGGAGCCCCGUUAGAACGGGCAGUAGUAUCUAAAUUGCACUUUGAACCUUUUGUAGGCGCUAGGCUAUCAACGUCCUUCGGUUACGGGGCCUUAACGUUAAACUGCUAUCCCAUUGAAGUAAUAUAGAAGUUUCUCUGGGGGUUAAUACCAUCUUUCUAUCCCUGUGGCGUGAAACACAGGGGUAGAACCUUUGGUUUCCUCACUUUAAUGUAAUUUCCUUGCCAUACCUUGUAUACUUCAACCAGACAAUUAUAAGGACUUAAUCCCUGGUCUCAUUUUAGACCUAUUUGAGUUAUAAAAUAUUGUGUGAGGCAGGGUUUUGAUAAAUAAAUAUUAAUAACUGUACCACA